rnacentral:rRNA from 1 species
GUGGGGAAUUUUGGACAAUGGGGGCAACCCUGAUCCAGCCAUGCCGCGUGAGUGAAGAAGGCCUUCGGGUUGUAAAGCUCUUUCGGACGGAAAGAAAUGGUUACGGUUAAUACCCGUGAUUGAUGACGGUACUGUCAGAAGAAGCACCGGCUAACUACGUGCCAGCAGCCGCGGUAAUACGUAGGGUGCGAGCGUUAAUCGGAAUUACUGGGCGUAAAGGGUGCGCAGGCGGUCCCGUAAGACAGGCGUGAAAUCCCCGGGCUUAACCUGGGAAUGGCGUUUGUGACUGUGGGACUUGAGUACGGCAGAGGGGGGUGGAAUUCCACGUGUAGCAGUGAAAUGCGUAGAGAUGUGGAGGAACACCGAUGGCGAAGGCAGCCCCCUGGGUUGAUACUGACGCUCAGGCACGAAAGCGUGGGGAGCAAACAGGAUUAGAUACCCGGGUAGUCC